UACGGAGGGUGCAAGCGUUGUCCGGAAUCACUGGGCGUAAAGGGCGCGUAGGCGGCUCAUGAAGGCUGUGGUGAAAGUCCGGGGCUCAACCUCGGAUCGGCCGUGGCGACUCGUGGGCUGGAGCACUGUAGAGGCGGGUGGAAUUCCUGGUGUAGCGGUGGAAUGCGUAGAGAUCCGGAAGAACACCAGUGGCGAAGGCGGCCCGCUGGGCAGUGGCUGACGCUGAGGCGCGAAAGCGUGGGGAGCAAACAGG
rnacentral:rRNA from 1 species